rnacentral:rRNA from 1 species
GACAGAGGGGGCAAGCGUUGCUCGGAAUCACUGGGCGUAAAGGGCGCGUAGGCGGGAUGGCAAGUCAGUCGUGAAAUCUCUCGGCUCAACCGAGAAACGUCGGCUGAUACUGCCGUUCUUGAGGGAUGCAGAGGAGACUGGAAUUCCCGGUGUAGCGGUGAAAUGUGUAGAGAUCGGGAGGAACACCGGUGGCGGAGGCGGGUCUCUGGGCAUUUCCUGACGCUGAGGCGCGAAAGCGUGGGGAGCAAACGGG